rnacentral:rRNA from 1 species
UGGGGAAUAUUGCACAAUGGAGGGAACUCUGAUGCAGCGACGCCGCGUGAGUGAUGAAGGAAUUCGUUUCGUAAAACUCUGUUCUAUGGGAAGAAAAGGACUGUACCAUAGGAGAAAGCUCCGGCUAAAUACGUGCCAGCAGCCGCGGUAAUACGUAUGGAGCGAGCGUUGUCCGGAAUUAUUGGGCGUAAAGGGUGCGCAGGCGGCUUUACAAGUUGGAUGUGAAAUAUUGUGGCUCAACCACAAACGUGCAUCCAAAACUGCAAAGCUUGAGUUAAGGAGAGGUAAGUUGAAUUCCUGGUGUAGCGGUGGAAUGCGUAGAUAUCAAGAGGAAUACCGGUGGCGAAGGCGACUUACUGGACUUAAACUGACGCUCAGGCACGAAAGCGUGGGGAGCAAACAGG